AGAGUUUGAUCCUGGCUCAGAAUCAACGCUGGCGGCGUGCCUAACACAUGCAAGUCGAACGAGAAAGUGGAGCAAUCCAUGAGUACAGUGGCGCACGGGUGAGUAACACGUGACUAACCUACCCUGGAGUGGGGGAUAACUGAGGGAAACCUUAGCUAAUACCGCAUAAUACCUACGGGUCAAAGGAGCAAUUCGCUUCAGGAGGGGGUCGCGGCCGAUUAGUUGGUUGGCGGGGUAAUGGCCCACCAAGACAGUGAUCGGUAUCCGGCCUGAGAGGGCGCACGGACACACUGGAACUGAAACACGGUCCAGACUCCUACGGGAGGCAGCAGUGGGGAAUUUUGCGCAAUGGGGGAAACCCUGACGCAGCAACGCCGCGUGGAGGAUGAAGUCCUUCGGGACGUAAACUCCUUUCGAUCGGGACGAUUAUGACGGUACCGGAAGAAGAAGCCCCGGCUAACUUCGUGCCAGCAGCCGCGGUAAUACGAGGGGGGCGAGCGUUGUUCGGAAUUAUUGGGCGUAAAGGGUGCGUAGGCGGUUUGGUAAGUCUUAUGUGAAAUCUAUGGGCUCAACUCAUAGACUGCAUGAGAAACUGCCGGGCUUGAGUAUGGGAGAGGUGAGUGGAAUUCCUGGUGUAGCGGUGAAAUGCGUAGAUAUCAGGAGGAACACCUGUGGCGAAAGCGGCUCACUGGACCAUAACUGACGCUGAUGCACGAAAGCUAGGGGAGCAAACAGGAUUAGAUACCCUAGUAGUCC
rnacentral:rRNA from 1 species